UGUCAUGGCGUCUUCCCAUGUUGUAGUUGACCUGUCGUUUACUUAAUUCUAUUUGUGCUUCGAUAUUUAAGUUGUCUAUUCUUGUUGUUUACAUUAUAGAUUUUUAAUAUUAGUGAUUGCAUUGUUUAACAUUUAUUGAACGGUCCGUCACCUUGUACUAUGUACUAAUUUUGUAUUCAUUUCAGGUAAAGUAUAUUUGGAUUUUAUUUGGUUGAACGAUGACACUCCCGAUGAGAGAAGAAAUGUAUCUCGCCCGUUACAUUAUAAAUAGCUAUUUUUCUAAGCAUGCUAUCAUCUAAUAUGGAGGACGGUAUACUAUUAACUGUAAAUUUGCACCGGACCAUGGGAUAAAUCAUCUAGUUACGCUCCCCAAGGAUGUUAUUGAAAAGAGCAUAUCGCAUUAUACAAGAGCAAGGUGCAAUUUUGUCCGAUUCCGAUUCUGCGAGUGAAAGGUGUAACUGUGGCAAGAAGAAGAAGGCAAGCUUAAGAUAAAAAUAAUGUAUAUAAAAAAUGUUUGGAAUGUAUACAAUAAAAUGUAAUGUGCUUUUCUAUGGUUGAUUAGAAGAAAGGAUUUUCAUUUACAGUAAAAAUAUAAUGUUUGUAAUGAAAUUGUAUCUGUUGAAACGUAUCAUAUCAUGUUUGAUAUGAUUUGAAUACUUUACAAGCUUAGAAAGUAAUUGUGAGAACAACUAAUGUAUAUGGAUAGAAAAAAAUGUGGUGGCUAAAGAAUAGUAAGGUUUAGGAAAGUUACAUUUAAGUGCGGCAGUACCCUGUAUUUAAUAAUAAUAAAAAAAGAAAGAAAGAAAUAUUUGUAUGAGUGUGGGAGGAGUGAAUGAGUCUUGUAAAUAGUUGUAAUUAGUGUAAAGUCGAGUAUAAGAAAGAAAGGAAAUGUUAGCGUCUUUUUGUUUUUUUUUUUUUUUUUUUUUUACGGCAUUUUUGAGAUGCAAUCAGAAUCUGGUUAGUUGAUAUUGAAUACCAAAGAUAGAUUACAUUAACGAAUGGUAGUGCUGUAACAUACAUGGUAAUGAGAAUAUUGAAAGGUAAGACUGAAUAAGAAAAUUGUAUAUAAGUGUGAGGUAGAAUAAUUGUUGGAGAUAGAUUAGUAAUGUAUAAUAAGGCAGAAGAUUGGGAUGUAAAAUAAAUGUUUAUAAAAUAUAAAGCAAAUAUCGAUAGGAUAUAAAAUAGAUAUUUGAAAA